GCUGGCUUCCCACCUCCUAGGAAGCCAGCCCCAUCUGGGGUUCUUUCUUGGGUGGUGUGUGCAGUAGGGGAGCGUGUCAGUGCAGUUUCUCCUGAGGCCUCUCUCUCCUUGGCUUGCAGGUGGCUGUCUCCUCCUCCUGGGUCUUCACCUCGUCAUUCCCCUUUGUGCGUCUGUGUCCAGAUCUCUUCUUACAAGAACACCAGUUAUAUUGGGUUAUGAGCCACUCGUUUUAACUUAAGUACCUCUUUAUUGACUCUGCAGGAGUCCCCCUGAUCUGCAAGGGUGUGCUCCAAGACCCCCAGUGGAUGUUGGAGACUGUGGAUAGUACUGAACUUUCCCCCCAUGUACAAACCUAUGAUAAAGUUUAAUUUAUGAAUUAGGCACAGUGAGAGAUUAACAAUAGCAACCAUGAAUACAAUAGAACAAUAAUCAGGACAUACUGUUAUAAGGGUUAUGGGAGUGUGGCUUCUCUUACUCCAAACGCCCAAUUGUGCCGCACUCACUCUUUCUGUGAGGCUGUGAGAAGACACAAUGUCUUCAUGAGUGAAUGACGUGGGCACUGUGACAUAGUGUCAGGCUGCUGCCAACCUUCUGAUGAUACGUACGUCAGAGGGAGGGUCACCUGCUGUGGUUACCCUGGACCAUUGAGCCGUGAUGACAGUGCAGGCUGGAUGUCAGGAGCAGACGAUGUUGAUGACUCACAGCUGGGGGAGUUGCACUUGAGAAGCCUCUGCCUGGGUGUGCAGCCCCACAGCCCAGCCUCU
rnacentral:lncRNA from 1 species